rnacentral:tRNA from 1 species
GAAUAUGAAGCGAUUUAUUGCAAUUAGUUUCGACCUAAUUUUAGAUGACUUCAUCCUUAUUCU